GACGAACGCUGGCGGCGUGCCUAAUACAUGCAAGUUGAGCGAUGAAGAUUGGUGCUUGCACCAAUUUGAAGAGCAGCGAACGGGUGAGUAACGCGUGGGGAAUCUGCCUUUGAGCGGGGGACAACAUUUGGAAACGAAUGCUAAUACCGCAUAACAACUUUAAACAUAAGUUUUAAGUUUGAAAGAUGCAAUUGCAUCACUCAAAGAUGAUCCCGCGUUGUAUUAGCUAGUUGGUGAGGUAAAGGCUCACCAAGGCGAUGAUACAUAGCCGACCUGAGAGGGUGAACGGCCAAAUUGGGACUGAGAAAAGGCCCAAACUCCUACGGGAGGCAGCAGUAGGGAAUCUUCGGCAAUGGAGGAAAGUCUGACCGAGCAACGCCGCGUGAGUGAAGAAGGUUUUCGGAUCGUAAAACUCUGUUGGUAGAGAAGAACGUUGGUGAGAGUGGAAAGCUCAUCAAGUGACGGUAACUACACAGAAAGGGACGGCUAACUACGUG
rnacentral:rRNA from 1 species